rnacentral:rRNA from 1 species
UGCGUAGGCGGACUAAUAAGUCAGUGGUGAAAUCUCUCGGCUCAGCCGGGAAACUGCCAUUGAUACUGUUAGUCUUGAGUUCGGUUGAGGUAGGCGGAAUGUGUAAUGUAGCGGUGAAAUGCUUAGAUAUUACACAGAACACCAAUUGCGUAGGCAGCUUACUAGACCGACACUGACGCUGAGGCACGAAAGCGUGGGUAGCGAACAGGAUUAGAUACCCUGGUAGUCC